rnacentral:tRNA from 2 species
GGAUCCGUAGCUCAGUGGAAAGAGCCCUGGCUUCCGGAGCCAGUAGUCGUGGGUUCAAUUCCCACCGGAUCCG